rnacentral:rRNA from 1 species
GAUGAACGCUGGCGGCGUGCCUAAUACAUGCAAGUCGAGCGAACAGAUAAGGAGCUUGCCUCUUUGACGUUAGCGGCGGACGGGUGAGUAACACGUGGGUAACCUAUCUAUAAGACUGGAAUAACUCAGGGAAACCGGAGAUAACGUCGGAUCACAUGUUGAACCGCAUGGUUCUACGGUGAAAGGCGGAUUUGCUGUCACUUAUAGAUGGAACCGGGCCGGAUUAGCUAGUUGCUGGGGUAACGGCCAACCAAGGCAACGAUACGUAGCUGAUCUGAGAGGGUGAUCCGCCACACUGGAACUGAGACACGGUCCAGACUCCUACGGGAGGCAGCAGUGGGGAAUAUUCGGCAAUGGGCGAAAGCCUGACCGAGCCAUGCCGCGUGAGUGAAGAAGGUCUUCGGAUUGUAAAACUCUUUUAGUUGGGAAGAAGGAAUGCGUAAGUAACUGUGCGCGUCUUGACGGUACCUAAUCAGAAAGCCACGGCUAACUACGUG